GCAUAUUUGGAUUCAAAUUUUGAAUUUCAAAAAGGCUAUGAAAAGAUUUUAUUUCAAUUUAAACCCUAGGGUUUACACCCAUUUGAGCUUCGGACCUUCAAGCCAAUAGGGUUUAUUUAUAAAAGGGGUUUAUUGCAUAAAUGAGCUAUCCCAUAAUUUUUGGAUGAUUAUUUGGAGUUGAAAAACUAUUUUUAUCUGAUUAGUUAUAUAGCCCUAAAGGCAUUUAUAGGGCAAAUGUAUUUUUAGAUAUUUUAUUUUGAGGGGAAAUUACUCCCAAAAGUUGAAUCAUGGUAAAACAUGAUUUUAGAAAUUUUCUGAAAUUUAUUUGGGCCAAUUUGGAGUUCAAAAUCAAAAGAUAUCAAAGAAUUGAGAAAAAGGGAAAAAGAAAAGGCUAAAAGAAAAAAGAAGAAGAAUAAAACCGGACUGGCCCGGCCAAAUGGGCCGAAUCGGCCCAGCUCCGCACGAACCGACCGAGCCAGACCGGCCCAGCCACGCGCGCGCGCCUGCAACCAUUGACAGGUGGGCCCCACCUGUCAGGGCUUUCUUCCCCGG
rnacentral:lncRNA from 1 species